rnacentral:rRNA from 1 species
GAUGAACGCUGGCGGCGUGCCUAAUACAUGCAAGUCGAGCGAACAGAUAAGGAGCUUGCUCCUUUGACGUUAGCGGCGGACGGGUGAGUAACACGUGGGUAACCUAUCUAUAAGACUGGAAUAACUCCGGGAAACCGGGGCUAAUGCCGGAUAACAUGUUGAACCGCAUGGUUCUACAGUGAAAGGCGGCUUUGCUGUCACUUAUAGAUGGACCCGCGCCGUAUUAGCUAGUUGGUGAGGUAACGGCUCACCAAGGCAACGAUACGUAGCCGACCUGAGAGGGUGAUCGGCCACACUGGAACUGAGACACGGUCCAGACUCCUACGGGAGGCAGCAGUAGGGAAUCUUCCGCAAUGGGCGAAAGCCUGACGGAGCAACGCCGCGUGAGUGAUGAAGGUCUUCGGAUCGUAAAACUCUGUUAUUAGGGAAGAACAAAUGCGUAAGUAACUGUGCGCGUCUUGACGGUACAUAAUCAGAAAGCCACGGCUAACUACGUG